GGAAGGCAGCAUGACAGGCUGCUUCAGCAAAUGCCAAAGGGGAGCGGGUGGAACAGACCGGCUUGGCUUCCCUCCACAACAUUUCACUCUGUUGGUUUCCAAGGAACGUCUCCCUGCCUUUCCAGCGUGACCAGUUUCCAAAAGCAGCACAUGACAAGAUUUUAUUUAUUUAAAAAAAAAAAAACAACCCACGAAGCAGGAAGGCUGAGGGCCAGGCUGCACCACAGGCAGCUGCACACAAAGCAUCCAGAGGAAGGGACUUUCUUCGUUCACGAUCACUGAGACCCAAGGGUAAAGAGCCCAGAUGCUGCAGCCGUGCCUCGUCAGGAAGGUGCUCCCGGCCCCUGAGCGUCUUGGUGGCCCUUUUCUGCCCCUUCUCCAGUUCUCCACCUGGGCUGAUCACCGGAGAUCCGUGGAAGAAGAGGAGCGCUGGGCCCUGCUCCCUCCGGGCCACGGUCUGGGGGCUCCUGAUGCAGCCGCCACCUUGAGGACCGAAGGACACCAGAAGCACAGCCCCUCAAGGAGGGCCCUCAAGCCCAGCUGCCCCGAGAAGCUCCCAGGCAGGAGCGGAGGGCAUGUCUUCAACUCACCGGGCUGGUGCUGAGGAGGCAGGCAUCUCGGCGGCAGGGUCUAGGCGGGAGACAGCCGGGGUCCCAGGAUGAAAGAAAGGCGGGUGGUGCGUGAAGACAUGGCUGGUUUUUACACGAAUGGAAAUGUCUGAGCACUCCAGCUGCUGAGAAAAAAGAAGGCCCCCAAGAAUUCCACACUCCGGUUCUGGAGACAGGCUGGGCAGAGGAGCUCCAAGGCCUGGGCGCCUUCCCGAGGGGGCCCACGGAACAGCCUGCCACUGUCCGGCAGAACUAGAGACCGCCAAGGAGCUCUUGAGGGGGUUAUUCCUGACUGCCAGCCCCAUUGACUCCCCCAGACCCCAGAACCCCCCUUCCUUUUAGGCCAGGAGGCCUCAGGGGGUCUCUUCCUGCCGCCACCCUCCUGACCAUCUCCUCUGGGCUUUGCUCCUCCCUGCAGAGAAGCAAACCUUGAGCAGACACGCAGGGGAAGCUGGCCAGGAACCAGCUGCUCCGGGGGGUGCUGUGCUGUGGCCCUCACCCCAUGUGCUGAUGCUGCGGUCCGGGGGCGGGGUGCAAGGGGUCAGGCAGAGCCAAGUGUGUGGGCAGAAAUGCUCUGGUGUAAAAGGGGGGCUUUUGAGACCCUAGACAUUUCCUCGAAGGUGCCCCUCCCCACCCCAAGCCUUUCCAGAAAGGAGCCCGUCUCUUUCUGCCCACCCAGACUGGCAUAAGUGGCAGGAGCAAGGGGUGGGGGGUGGGCUGGGCUGGGCUGGGCUGUCCAGCAGGGUCCAAAGAGGCUGAGCUGGGCCCCCCAAGUCAGACAGGAGCCUCGCUGUGGAGCGGGCUGCACAGUGGGCCUGGCAGCACCACUGCCCUCUUGCUGGGUCUUCACGGGGCACUUGCCGCCUCCGCCUCCUCCGCCUCCUCCUGAGCAGGUCAGAGGGAUGGAGAAGGGAGGCCUUUCCUGGCCUCCGCUCUGGCCUGCCGCUGCGCUAGAGGUCCUGGGGAUGAGCAGGGCGGGUCUGCGGCGGAGGUGGGGAUCCUGAGGAGGAAGGGCACUAGGUCCCCCCCGCCCCCACCAGAGCGCCUCCAAACCGGAGGCCAUCUGGGAGGUGGCGGCGGCCUCUGCAGUCCUUGGGGUCCCCACCUGUGCUGGGGGUGGCCCCAGGAGUCUCCCCCCUCCUCCUCCCCCCCCGGCCAAGCUCCGAGCGUCCGUCCGUGGGUGCUGCUGACCGGCCUUUGGGCCCAGAGCCCUGGCCCCUGCCGCGAGUGGGGAGCUGGGCUGCUCCAGGGGCCCCGUUCCCAAGGGCCCCCCUCCUGCCGGCUGAUCUGCUGCCCCCCGCCCAGCCCCCCCCCCCCCGGUGCCCUCCUGGCUGUGCCUUCCCAUUGGCUUCCUAAUGGCCUGCAUGGAAUGAUUCUGUGAUUGCAAUGAUAUAUAAAAUGCACAUCAGGGGAGAGAGACUGCUGUGAAAUGGGAGCGGUGAGGAGCGCUGUUACUGCAGCACCCCACAGACUGCCGUGCAAUGAAGAGGGAGCCCAGCUGGGAAGGAAACUGUUGCUCUGGGUAAAUGCAAACACACACCCCCCACACACACACACUGCCCCCCCUCCAGACGGAGGGGAGCUUGGAGGGAACCAGAAGCCCCCCCCGCCCAUCAGCAGUUGGGGUGCCUUGGAGAGCAGCCAGCCCCCACCUCCCAGGACUCGCUCCCAGAAGCGACAUUUGCUCAGCAGCCAGGAGCAGCCCGAGGGAGGAGCAGUGCUCUGCUACAGCAGGGCCCCAGUGGCGGCCCCAGAUUCAAUCUCCUCCGCAUUUUUGGCUGGCAAAGAUUAGCUAGGCGUUGGGUGUUCCUCCUCAACACCCGGAAUCCAGUGACUUCACAGUUGCUGUCAGCAUUGGGCCGUAUCUGGCAUGUCCCAGAUUUGAGACCUAACAUGCAACAGCCCGCAGCAGCUGGUAGCUGACAUGCAAUGGCAUUAGGAUGCUUGCUUCUAGUACCCGUGUCACCAGUUAGGAAACAUCCCUUGAACAGGUGGUGGGAGCCCUCCAACCGCAAGAAGGUUUCAGUGUCAGUUUCUGAUUCUGAACUCAAGUGGCCCAUUUGGAACCAAAUUUCUCUUCUCCUUCUCCUCCCUUGUUGACUCUGGAAGAGACCGUGAAAUAUGUUGCCCUUUAUUAUUACAUUUAUUUAUUUAUUACGAAUACAUAUUUAUUAUUUGCUUGUUUAUUAACAAGA